AUUGAACGCUGGCGGCAGGCCUAACACAUGCAAGUCGAGCGGAGCGGCGGACGGGUGAGUAAUGCCUAGGCAUCUGCCUGGUAGUGGGGGAUAACGUCCGGAAACGGGCGCUAAUACCGCAUACUAUCAGAUGAGCCUAGGUCGGAAUAGCUAGUGGGUGGGGUAAAGGCCUACCAAGGCGACGAGCCGUAACUGGUCUGAGAGGAUGAGCAGUCACACUGGAAUGGAGACACGGUCCAGACUCAUACGGGAGGAAGCAGUGGGGAAUAUUGGACAAUGGGGGAAAUCCUUAUGCAGACAUGCCGCGUGUUUGAAGAAGGUCUUCGGAUUGUAAAGCACUUUAAGUUGGGAGGCGUUACCAACAGAAUAAGCACCGGCUAAAUUCGUGCCAGCAGCCGCGGUAAUUC
rnacentral:rRNA from 1 species